CGCGGGGCAACCUGGCGGCGAGUGGCGAACGGGUGAGUAAUAUAUCGGAACGUACCCAGAAGUGGGGGAUAACGUAGCGAAAGUUACGCUAAUACCGCAUACGAUCUACGGAUGAAAGUGGGGGACCUUCGGGCCUCAUGCUUUUGGAGCGGCCGAUAUCUGAUUAGCUAGUUGGUAGGGUAAAGGCCCACCAAGGCGACGAUCAGUAGCUGGUCUGAGAGGACGACCAGCCACACUGGGACUGAGACACGGCCCAGACUCCUACGGGAGGCAGCAGUGGGGAAUUUUGGACAAUGGGCGCAAGCCUGAUCCAGCAAUGCCGCGUGAGUGAAGAAGGCCUUCGGGUUGUAAAGCUCUUUUGUCAGGGAAGAAACGGCUCAGGCUAAUAUCCUGGGCUAAUGACGGUACCUGAAGAAUAAGCACCGGCUAACUACGUGCCAGCAGCCGCGGUAAUACGUAGGGUGCAAGCGUUAAUCGGAAUUACUGGGCGUAAAGCGUGCGCAGGCGGUUUUGUAAGUCUGACGUGAAAUCCCCGGGCUCAACCUGGGAAUUGCGUUGGAGACUGCAAGGCUGGAGUCUGGCAGAGGGGGGUAGAAUUCCACGUGUAGCAGUGAAAUGCGUAGAGAUGUGGAGGAACACCGAUGGCGAAGGCAGCCCCCUGGGUCAAGACUGACGCUCAUGCACGAAAGCGUGGGGAGCAAACAGGAUUAGAUACCCU
rnacentral:rRNA from 1 species